rnacentral:rRNA from 1 species
UACGUAGGGUGCGAGCGUUGUCCGGAUUUACUGGGCGUAAAGAGCGCGCAGGCGGUCGUACAAGUCGCGUGUGAAAGCCCCCGGCUCAACUGGGGAGGGUCACGCGAUACUGUUCGACUCGAAGGCAGGAGAGGGAAGUGGAAUUCCCGGUGUAGUGGUGAAAUGCGUAGAUAUCGGGAGGAACACCAGUGGCGAAGGCGACUUCCUGGCCUGUUCUUGACGCUGAGGCGCGAAAGCUAGGGGAGCAAACGGG